UUGGAAAGUAGAGGUGGUCAGAGGGGGACGUUCUUCCCAGAUACACUGACACACUGACAGUACAAUAUACUGUCCUAGACACAACUGACCUCAAUUUUUGUUUAUUUGUCUUUUUCAGGAAAGCAGGCACUAUUUUUCAGAAAGACAUUCAAGGCAGCUGUAAGAAUAAUUGUACUUCAUGAAAUAGUGCUAUUGAACAUUUAAAGACUGAAAAACAGCAAAGAGUGAAAAAUAUCUAUAAGCCUAGGACAUUUUUGAACUUCCACACAUGGACAAAAAGCAAAGCCAAAGAAUGGAUGAGGAACCUUCGCUUUACAGGUCCCUCAGCUUUCAUGAAAUCAACAUAGGCUCACAAUUCUAAGAAUAACUAUCUCAUAAUCAAAUGCUUCUAGAUAUACUGGACUGUUCAUUUGGGUGGGAAACUACCCAAACAUACCUCUUGCUCUUAAAAAUAUAGUAUAGCAUCCAUAUCUCUGCACAGUAUGUUCACUUAGGAAACCAUCAAGCCCUUUAUGACCUAAAUGGCUACAGAGCUACUACAUACAGAGAGACCCACAAAGACACAGACAUAUACAGCAGACACAACACAUUCAGGUUAUACAUGGACUCAGCUAAUCCACAAGAAAAAUCAAAUUAGAAAAGCAUAUUAGAAUAUAUUACUUGGCAGAGAAUGACAUGAGUGACACAAAGAUUUCCAAAACCCGUGUAGCUGUCAGUGCAGGAACCAAGAAUGACUGGGAAACCUGGAUUGCAGCUAAUGGUGCAUCUGCCUUCCAGUCCAAGCAUAUGAACACGUGGCUCAGAGAGCAAAUUAACUGUCUCAUCAAUGAAGGGAAUAGCAUCAAGGCAAAUAUUUGGGAUUUGCAAGAAGCUAUGAAGAACAUGAAAGCUGAGCUCAGAAGGAUAAAGCAAGUUGAAGAGAAAAUAACAUUCUUAGAAACUCAGAUUGAAGCAGCCAAGAAAAAUCAGGAGGAGGAAAGAAUAGCAGCGUCUUUCGAGGAACAGUACCUUGAAAAGCUGGUAGGCAAGGCUGGAAAGCAAAUAUCUCUGAGCAAAGUGAUUUUUUAAAAAUGUAUAUUAUAUGACACCAUAAAAACACCAAGCAAAAAAAUCUGUUGGUUAGAUCAGGAUGGGCUAAUGAUAUGAAGAGAAAAUAACAUUCUUAGAAACUCAGAUUGAAGCAGCCAAGAAAAAUCAGGAGGAGGAAAGAAUAGCAGCGUCUUUCGAGGAACAGUACCUUGAAAAGCUGGUAGGCAAGGCUGGAAAGCAAAUAUCUCUGAGCAAAGUGAUUUUUUAAAAAUGUAUAUU
rnacentral:lncRNA from 1 species